UGCCUGCGGCAGCUACACAUGCAGUCGAGCGGGAACUUCGGUUCUAGCGGCGGACGGGUGAGUAAUGCGUAGGAAGCUACCCGAUAGAGGGGGAUACCAGUUGGAAACGACUGUUAAUACCGCAUAAUGUCUACGGACCAAAGUGUGGGACCUUCGGGCCACAUGCUAUCGGAUGCGCCUACGUGGGAUUAGCUAGUUGGUGAGGUAAUGGCUCACCAAGGCGACGAUCCCUAGCUGGUUUGAGAGGAUGAUCAGCCACACUGGAACUGAGACACGGUCCAGACUCCUACGGGAGGCAGCAGUGGGGAAUAUUGGACAAUGGGCGCAAGCCUGAUCCAGCCAUGCCGCGUGUGUGAAGAAGGCCUUCGGGUUGUAAAGCACUUUCAGCGAGGAGGAAGGAGUUGUAGUUAAUAGCUGCAACUUUUGACGUUACUCGCAGAAGAAGCACCGGCUAACUCUGUGCCAGCAGCCGCGGUAAUACAGAGGGUGCAAGCGUUAAUCGGAAUUACUGGGCGUAAAGCGCACGCAGGCGGUUGGUUAAGUCAGAUGUGAAAGCCCCGGGCUCAACCUGGGAAUUGCAUUUGAAACUGGCCAACUAGAGUAUGUGAGAGGGGGGUAGAAUUCCAAGUGUAGCGGUGAAAUGCGUAGAGAUUUGGAGGAAUACCAGUGGCGAAGGCGGCCCCCUGGCACAAUACUGACGCUCAGGUGCGAAAGCGUGGGGAGCAAACAGGAUUAGAUACCCUGGUAGUCCACGCCGUAAACGAUGUCUACUAGCUGUUCGUGGUCUUGUACUGUGAGUAGCGCAGCUAACGCACUAAGUAGACCGCCUGGGGAGUACGGUCGCAAGAUUAAAACUCAAAUGAAUUUGACGGGGGCUCGCACAAGCGGUGGAGCAUGUGGUUUAAUUUCGACGCAACGCGAAGAACCUUACCUACUCUUGACAUCUAGCGAAGACUGCAGAGAUGCGGUGUGCCUUCGGGAACGCUAAGACAGGUGCUGCAUGGCUGUCGUCAGCUCGUGUUGUGAAAUGUGGGUAAGUCCCGCACGAGCGCAACCCUUAUCCUUAGUGCAGCACGUAAUGGUGAACUCCUAGGAGACUGCGUGAUAACGAGAGGUGGGGACGACGUCAGUCAUCAUGCCCUUACGAAGUAGGGCUAACACCAC
rnacentral:rRNA from 1 species